UGGGGAAUAUUGGACAAUGGGGGCAACCCUGAUCCAGCCAUGCCGCGUGAGUGAUGAAGGCCUUAGGGUUGUAAAGCUCUUUUAUCCGGGAUGAUAAUGACAGUACCGGAAGAAUAAGCCCCGGCUAACUUCGUGCCAGCAGCCGCGGUAAUACGAAGGGGGCUAGCGUUGUUCGGAAUCACUGGGCGUAAAGGGCGCGUAGGCGGACGAUUAAGUCAGGGGUGAAAUCCCGGGGCUCAACCCCGGAAUUGCCCUUGAUACUGGUUGUCUUGAGAUGGGAAGAGGUAAGUGGAAUUGCGAGUGUAGAGGUGAAAUUCGUAGAUAUUCGCAAGAACACCGGUGGCGAAGGCGACUUACUGGUCCUUAUCUGACGCUGAGGCGCGAAAGCGUGGGGAGCAAACAGG
rnacentral:rRNA from 1 species